UACGUGGGGGGCGAGCGUUGUUCGGAAUUAUUGGGCGUAAAGGGUGCGUAGGCGGUUCGGUAAGUUUCGUGUGAAAUCUUCGGGCUCAACUCGAAGCCUGCACGAGAUACUGCCGGGCUUGAGUGUGGGAGAGGUGAGUGGAAUUUCCGGUGUAGCGGUGAAAUGCGUAGAUAUCGGAAGGAACACCUGUGGCGAAAGCGGCUCACUGGACCACAACUGACGCUGAGGCGCGAAAGCUAGGGGAGCAAACAGG
rnacentral:rRNA from 1 species